rnacentral:rRNA from 1 species
UACAUGGGGUGCAAACGUUGCUCGGAAUUAUUGGGCGUAAAGCGCACGUAGGCGGUCCGUUAAGUCAGAUGUGAAAGCCCCCGGCUCAACCGGGGAAGUGCAUCUGAAACUGGCGGGCUAGAGUACGAAAGAGGGUCGCGGAAUUCCCGGUGUAGAGGUGAAAUUCGUAGAUAUCGGGAGGAACACCGGUGGCGAAGGCGGCGACCUGGGUCGAUACUGACGCUGAGGUGCGAAAGCGUGGGGAGCGAACAGG